UACGAAGGGGGCUAGCGUUGCUCGGAAUCACUGGGCGUAAAGGGCGCGUAGGCGGGCUUUUAAGUCAGGGGUGAAAUCCUGGAGCUCAACUCCAGAACUGCCUUUGAUACUGAGGAUCUUGAGUUCGGGAGAGGUGAGUGGAACUGCGAGUGUAGAGGUGAAAUUCGUAGAUAUUCGCAAGAACACCAGUGGCGAAGGCGGCUCACUGGCCCGAUACUGACGCUGAGGCACGAAAGCGUGGGGAGCAAACAGG
rnacentral:rRNA from 1 species